UAAAUAGAUAGAUAGAGGCGUUGCCAAUGAUGGGAGGAUAAGAAUAUUUCCCUAGUAGGUCAGGAUGAAUCUAACUCCCUAAGAGAUGUAAUAUAUCACCUUUUAAAACAGUACUUACCCGCUGCUAGCUCAGCUCUUACAACACCAAUAUGUAUAAAUUUAAACAGAUUUAGUCGAGUUUACCUUGUAUUAAUUCGAACCGCGCGCGAAAUAAGAACACACGAUAAACACGAAUAGUGUAUUAUAAUUUUGGAAUAAAAUUACAACACGAAACUUAAGUCUAAAACAUAUAAAACUCUACGCGUAUAACCAAUAUAUAUUCCACCGAAUAGUGGCGUAAGUAGGAUCGCUUUUACCCACCUACGUGUAACUAUCAAAUUGCCCGCGUUGGGUAGCGAAUUUAGGACUUAAGUUUAAACGCGAAUACUCUCCCUUAAACACGAACGUUAAGGCAGAGGACCUGGGACUCAAGCACAACUCUUACGUAGGAGUGAGUGGCCUUAUUACUUUUCCGCGGUCAGACCUACCAGACGAAGCGCGAAUCGACAAGUGAAGAUCAAUUCCAUCUCAACUUGGCUUCUAGCCUCGAGUCGAGAAGGAAUUGAGCUUUACGAACUUGUGAGCUUUUCACAUCUGCCCUUAAUGGAACGAUGUGAAAACACCUCUUGGGUGGUUCCCACGUACUUAACACCUUACCUAAGUGCAUCGAGUAUAUGCUUUCAUCUACGUAAAGUACUGUAGAAUCGAACUAUUGAUUGGAUUCUCCAGUACUUCCUUUAGAUGAAAGAUUUAUAAUCCCACUGAGAGAGAUACGAUGAAUAUCCCUGUCUAGCCAGUGAAGGCAUAUUGUCCCCUUACAUUUGCCCCUAACGUGGGUUUACUUCUAAAGUAUCCCCUGAGGAAAUGUAGAGGAAAGCACGGAAAUUUUGAAAAAAGGUGACAUUGUGCUUCACUGGAUGUGACCCUAUUGCCCCCCGUACUUUGCUUGAUUGAUGCGGGGAAUAGUAAUCCCAAAAUAAAUUUUGAAACUCUUUGGUUUUUAUUAUAAUUCCAAAAGUGAGGUGAAUUUUGAGUGUGCUGGUGAGUUGACUCUUACUGACCAAGAGUAACUACAAUUGAUCAUCAAUAUUUGACCGAAGUCGAAGAUAUCAAUAAACCAAUCAGAUGCUACCUUUGAUCUGGUCACUCCACAGCAGGGUCAUGGCCGAAAUGGUAAGUAUUUAAGUACGAUUUAAUCUUUGAGGGGGAGGGUUAAUCUAAAAGGUACCCUUCCUCAAUUUUAUGAUUUCAGGAGAAGAUGAAAAAAGCUCAAGAAGUUCGUGGUUGUUUGGCUUUGUUGUCUUUGGAUAGUCUGACCAAGAAUUUUUGAAGAAAAAAUUGCUGGUGUAUUUUGGUCAACGACGAUGGCAAGAGAAUUACUUUGUUUAUCAAAAACUAAAGAUAAGUACAAAAACAUAUUUACAUUUUUAUUAAAUAAUGUAAAAUUUAAGAGCAUUUUUGUUUCUUAGGAUUAAUCAGUCUAAUUUAAACACAUGAUCGAUUUAAAAUAUCUGUACAUUUUUUAUUUCUAAAAAAAAAUUUUAAAGUUAUGAAAUAAAUUAAAUAAAAAAUGUUGUUUUUGUUUAGGACCAGUUCAGAGAAAGAUGGGUGAAACUUAAAAUAGGAUUGAGCCAAAGUUGAACCAGUCUGUUGGGAUAUUUUUCGUAUUUACAAUAAGUAAGAAGACAAAGAAGAUUUCCUUAACUAAUAAUGCACAGAUCUUUUUUCUUGGCUCAUGGACUUCUUUUCCAGGUUGUAUUUUUUCAUAGAAAAUAAUUUUAGAUAAAAAUUAAAAAUAAAAUUUGAGUAAACUUAUGCCAUUUUUGUUCCACAGGAAGACAAAGAUAGCUAGAUUUUUGAAAGGAAUGUUAUCCGUCUACGGUCUGAGUCAACAUGGCCUUCUGUGCCCUGAAUGUGAUAUCUUUGUUAA